rnacentral:rRNA from 1 species
AGCUAGUUGGUGGGGUAAAGGCCUACCAAGGCUACGAUCUGUAGCGGGUCUGAGGGGAUGAUCCGCCACACUGGAACUGAGACACGGUCCAGACUCCUACGGGAGGCAGCAGUGGGGAAUUUUGGACAAUGGGGGCAACCCUGAUCCAGCCAUGCCGCGUGAGUGAAGAAGGCCUUCGGGUUGUAAAGCUCUUUCGGCCGGGAAGAAAUCGCAUAGGCUAAUACCCUGUGUGGAUGACGGUACCGGAAUAAGAAGCACCGGCUAACUACGUGCCAGCAGCCGCGGUAAUACGUAGGGUGCGAGCGUUAAUCGGAAUUACUGGGCGUAAAGCGUGCGCAGGCGGUUUAGUAAGACAGGCGUGAAAUCCCCGGGCUCAACCUGGGAACUGCGCUUGUGACUGCUAAGCUAGAGUACGGCAGAGGGGGGUGGAAUUCCACGUGUAGCAGUGAAAUGCGUAGAGAUGUGGAGGAACACCGAUGGCGAAGGCAGCCCCCUGGGCCGAUACUGACGCUCAUGCACGAAAGCGUGGGUAGCAAACAGGAUUAGAUACCCUGGUAGUCCACGCCCUAAACGAUGUCAACUAGGUGUUGGGAGGGUAAAACCUUUUAGUACCGGAGCUAACGCGUGAAGUUGACCGCCUGGGGAGUACGGCCGCAAGGUUAAAACUCAAAGGAAUUGACGGGGACCCGCACAAGCGGUGGAUGAUGUGGAUUAAUUCGAUGCAACGCGAAAAACCUUACCUACCCUUGACAUGUCCAGAAGCUCUUAGAGAUUUGAGUGUGCCCGAAAGGGAGCUGGAACACAGGUGCUGCAUGGCUGUCGUCAGCUCGUGUCGUGAGAUGUUGGGUUAAGUCCCGCAACGAGCGCAACCCUUGUCGUUAAUUGCCAUCAUUUAGUUGGGCACUUUAACGAGACUGCCGGUGACAAACCGGAGGAAGGUGGGGAUGACGUCAAGUCCUCAUGGCCCUUAUGGGUAGGGCUUCACACGUCAUACAAUGGUCGGUACAGAGGGUUGCCAAGCCGCGAGGUGGAGCCAAUCCCAGAAAGCCGAUCGUAGUCCGGAUUGCAGGCCGCAACUCGCCUGCAUGAAGUCGGAAUCGCUAGUAAUCGCGGAUCAGCAUGUCGCGGUGAAUACGUUCCCGGGUCUUGUACACACCGCCCGUCACACCAUGGGAGCGGGUUCCGCCAGAAGUAGGUAGCCUAACCGCAAGGGGGGCGCUUACCACGGCGGGGUUCGUGACUGGGGUGAAGUCGGAACAAGGUAGCCGUAGGGGUACCUGCGGCUG